rnacentral:rRNA from 1 species
AUUGAACGCUGGCGGAAUGCUUUACACAUGCAAGUCGAACGGCAGCACGGGGGACGCCCUGGUGGCGAGUGGCCAACGGGUGAGUAAUACAUCGGAACGUGCCCGGUCGUGGGGGAUAACGCAGCGAAAGUUACGCUAAUACCGCAUCCGAUCUGAGGAUGAAACCGGGGGACCUUCGGGCCUCGCGCCAUCGGCGCCGCUGAUGUCUGAUUAGGCAGUUGGUGGGGUAAAGGCCUACCAAGCCGACGACCUGUAGCUGGUCUGAGAGGUGGACCAGCAACACGGGGACGGAGAAACGGCCCAGACUCCUACGGGAGGCACCAGAGGGGAAUUUUGGACAAUGGGCGCAAGCCUGAUCCAGACAGUCCGCGUGCAGGACGAAGGCCUUCGGGUUGUAAACUGCGUUUGUACGGAACGAAAAGGGUCUGGCUAAUAACUGGGGCUCAUGACGGUACCGUAAGAAUAAGCACCGGCUAACUACGUG